rnacentral:tRNA from 1 species
GCCCUGAUGGUGUAGCGGUUAGCAUUGAGCCCUGUCGAGGCUCCGACCCGAGUUCGAAUCUCGGUCAGGGCG